rnacentral:lncRNA from 1 species
AUCGCAUAAACUGACUUAUCCCAUAGGCCUCAGAGAAAACAAGCAACUUAACAAAACAAAUUAUCAAAACCAAUCCACAAUUACGUAUUAAUUCUCAAUUCUUGAACAACUAUUACUGGUAUAGCGUGCGUGUGUGAACAACAUCUAAGAUAACUGAUAAGGACCCAAAUUCAAUACAUAAACAACUUCUUAGAAGGAAUCAUACAGUGCAAACUCAAAAAUCUCAAAGAUAGGCACGAUUCAACUAAAAUUAAACUCAAUCAAAUUCAAGGGUACAUGCAUGAUACUUAUACUUUCUUUUCUUCCUUCUCUUUUUUUUUCUUUUUUUACACGGGGGCUUUUUGCUCUUUUCCCAUGAUUACUUCC